UGGAUACUGUGCCGGGCCAAGUUCGGCGGUGACGACCGGCAACAUGGAGCGGCCGCCAUCUCUCCUCCCGCCGCCGCAGUCAGUGGCAGCACCGGCGUCGGGAGAGCGGCGCUGGGGAUUUACUCAGACCCGCGCCAAAUCCGCUGAUGUAUUUAUUUGCUUCACUCCGGGGUCCCCCCAGCUUAGUGCGCCAGUACAUUUUGUGGCUGGAUUAUGGUGGAUUUUGCAUCCGUCUGAAGCCCCAGCCUCAAAUAUGUUGAGUGUUCAAACAUUUGAGACUUUAGAGAGAAAUACCAGAACAGAUUCUCAGGGUUAGUUAGUCGUGGGAUAGAUGUGUGAUUUAUGUAUUUAGAGCAAGUGUUUUUUUUUAACCUUAUGUGUAUCAGUAAGCUUGAAUUCUUGUUCUUCAUAGCCAUGUUCUUAGCCUUAACUCCACCAGCGAUGAAUAUUCUUAUCUUAUUCAGCCUAAUUAACAGAUCUACCUACUUUGAUCUAGGCCACUCACUCUGAAUGGGAGACCCACCAUUUAGUCGGCGUGUACUGAUUUUGCUUUACAAACAGUUAAGAAGACUAACACCACUCGAGAG
rnacentral:lncRNA from 1 species